rnacentral:misc_RNA from 1 species
GAUGAAGAACGUAGCGAAAUGCGAUAAGUAAUGUGAAUUGCAGAAUUCAGUGAAUUAUCGAAUCUUUGAACGCACAUUGCGCCCGCCAGUAUUCUGGCGGGCAUGCCUGUUCGAGCGUCAUUACAACCCUCAGGCCCCCGGGCCUGGCGUUGGGGAUCGGCGGAGCCCCCCGUGGGCACACGCCGUCCCCCAAAUGCAGUGGCGGUCCCGCCGCAGCUUCCAUCGCGUAGUAGCUAACACCUCGCGACUGGAGAGCGGCGCGGCCACGCCGUAAACACCCAACUCUUCUGAAGUUGACCUCGAAUCAGGUAGGAAUACCCGCUGAACUUAAGCAUAUCAAUAAGCGGAGGA